GACGAACGCUGGCGGCGUGCUUAACACAUGCAAGUCGAACGGUAAGGCCCUUCGGGGUACACGAGUGGCGAACGGGUGAGUAACACGUGGGUGAUCCGCCCUGCACUUCGGGAUAAGCCUGGGAAACUGGGUCUAAUACCGGAUAGGACCACUGCCUGCAUGGGUGGUGGUGGAAAGCUUUUGCGGUGUGGGAUGGGCCCGCGGCCUAUCAGCUUGUUGGUGGGGUGAUGGCCUACCAAGGCGACGACGGGUAGCCGGCCUGAGAGGGUGACCAGCAACACUGGGACUGAGAUACGGCCCAGACUCCUACGGGAGGCAGCAGUGGGGAAUAUUGCACAAUGGGCGCAAGCCUGAUGCAGCGACGCCGCGUGAGGGAUGACGGCCUUCGGGUUGUAAACCUCUUUCAGCACCGACGAAGCGCAAGUGACGGUAGGUGCAGAAGAAGGACCGGCCAACUACGUGCCAGCCGCCGCCGUAA
rnacentral:rRNA from 1 species